AUGGAGGAGCUGGGAUUGAAAGAGGAGGACCUUGACGACGUGGUUUUUGAUGAGGAAGAUGCGCCGACAGCAAAAGCUAGAUGGAUCGCACUAGCAAAAGUCAAUACCAGCAAGACAUAUAGUCAGACUUGGUUCUAUAGGAACAUGCGAUCGGCGUGGGAUAUUGCGCAACAUGUGAAGUUCAGACCCCUAGAGGAUAAUCUUUACUCUGUUCAAUUCUCGUGCUUGGGAGAUUGGGAG
rnacentral:rRNA from 1 species